CCGGGCAUAUCAUAAUGUUUUCCAGCUUGUUUUUCAAAGUCGCGCGUAAAACGCGAUUCAUCGAUGGACCCGAGUCGGGAAAACAGGAAAUUCGAUGAUCAUUUGUUUAUUUUAAACAUGGAUUUCUCGAUUAUCGUAGCACGGCGUACACCCCUAUCUCAGGAAUGGAUUCGUCCAGCCGGCUUCUCCCACCGCUCGGAUUCACAGCUCUUGCCAUAUAUGGGCAUAAAACGAAAGCGGCUCGGCGAUUGGUUGGCUGGCCGGCUGCCGGCUAGAUUCUCCAAAUGCCGCUUCAAACUGUACGAUACGGGGAGCAUAAUGCCUUCUGGAAGCGUACACUAGCGUAAGGGCUUUCCUGACUGUCAGAGAACUGUUCGUAGUUGUGCGGGUAUCGAUGCAUGUAUGCGGAGAUUACCCCACGUUCCCGGUAUGCCUGUCUGUGUGUGCAUGCGACCGGUACCGGCAGUAGAUAUGAGUCAGAAAGUUUUGUCACAUUGCUUCGAAACAAGUAUUUUCUUUUGCUUAAUUGAAAUCGGAACACUUGUCACCGAGAUUGAGACAUUAUCUCUGAUCGAAGUCCUUUCUCCGAUGCAUUAGGCAACAAUAGUCUCUCUUUUGUUAUCGAUAAGCGGUUGAUCUUAUGGUCUUCGUACGAUAAACGAACGGUUCCUAGAAUUCUGUCUGGAGUCCCUUCAGGUAUAGUUCUCACCCAGGUAAAACGAGAAGGUAGAAGAAGAAGAAGAAGAAGAAUGAAUAACUUUCGUAGGUAGGAAAAUACUUUGAUCAACUUCGUUAACCAUCGAUGACUGUUCGUAUGAAAUGAUAACUCUAUCAGCGUGUAGUUUCAGGAAUUAACGAACGAAACGUUAAUCUAUAUACGAUCUUCAUCCUUGAUCAAAUAUUACCUGCUCCUCUACUUUUAAAAUCAUGUCCAAAGAGAGCAGAAUGUUUAAAACUGGAUUUAGAAUGUCAGUGGGUCAGAUCCGACUGUUUAUGCAUGUUCAUCGUCUAAGUUUCAUUUUAGAGUAGGACACGUGUCCAGUAGAAGAGUCGAUCGUAUUACUCAAAAUAUCUUGGACGGACUCGUCUCGGAUAUAAUCAAACAGAGGCGACGUUUGUCCUCCCACUUAUCGCAUGCGGUGUAUGUCAUCUCGGCCGGCUUUUUCAUGAAACAGAAGCUAAAAAUAGACUCAAGGGCGCGGAUAAGGGUGCAGUGGACUAGGUGCCACGUCACACGAGCCCUACGUCCCCGUCUCUCUGUGUCUGUUACCCGUCCGGCGAGGAGAGAUCGUAGUAUGCGCGAGUGCAGUGUCUGCUUGAAAAUCGAUACGAGUGCUACUCGUGGGCUCCACGACGGUUCAUCUGAACGGAAACCACGUGGCGAGGAAAACGUCAAAGUACCGCAUGUUGCUCUUUCGCCAACGAAUCAUUACCCAGGGCCAUAGGAACGUUCGUCACAGAAUUAUUUUUAUACUGCGUCCGUAACUGAUUCUAUGAUCGUACUCGAUCUUUUACUUAAGCUCGUACGCGUACGUAUCAUUGAACUGUAGUCAUCGAGGAAUCAAAUUCGGGCAUUGCGAAACACACAGCGGGGCAGACAAGGCAGUUUUAUAAAUACACCUGUCACGGCUGUUCGAUGAAAUAAUCAAUGAAUCAUUCGUGCUCCUAAGAAAUCGUGCACUCGUUUCUUUACGAGGGCAUGUCAGAUUCUGAUUUUAUUUCAAACGAAAUUUACAUACAAGUUGUAACGUAUGCAUCACAUGGAAUCGAGCCUAACCCGACCUGAAAAUGCCGGUGUCUAGCUAUCACGUGGGUGCAGCAUCUCUUCUCCGAAAUCACGAAAUGUUUCCUUAUCAACUCUUACAGAGCUCAUUCAAAUUCGAGCGAAGCAUCGUUGCACAGAAUAUUCCUUUCGAAACUAAGCUAGGUUGCAAAUGAAUAAGAAGACCGAUCUGUCCCGCGUCAGGCCUCGUUAUACUGUCUAUUUUCUAUCGAUCAUCAGCGGCUCGUGUAUGCCCGCACUAGGAAGAAUUUGAUCAAGUCCAAGUAAGAUGGCGGCGGAUCGUGGUCGGCCUGAAGACCCAAUGGUCCGCGAAGCCUCGACCUUGCUCACCAAAUAAGGUCCCGUUCAAGGCCUUCGGGACCUUGCGUAAGGCUCGGCCGUGCCAUCGGCAUAACGAUCAACCGAUUAUGUCCACGGUUUAGUCAUCGGACGUUUAUCAGUGAAAGUGUCCGGCCGCGAUGGGAAAUUCCAUAUCCGUUUCGCUGCGUUAUCCGUCUACGCGGUUUUCGUCUACGGGAACUUCGGGUUGGGCGUGUCUGUCCUAAGCGGACACGUGCUGUAGGUAACGUCUGGCUCCAGUCGCGCAGUGCCACCGAAAUCAAUACGGAAUGCGACGGAAAAAAUUACGAUGGUCCGAGCUGUUCGCAUCGAUGGCCCUUUCUCUUUUCCUAUGAUCGUAGAGUCCAAGCAUGUGAGGAAUCCGGGCAGAGAUACAGUACGCGAUCGCUAUAUUUAGUGUUGACUUAUGGCUCGUCAGAUCGAGAAACAGUGACGUAGGUCCGAGCAGCUGACGAUAAAGAGCCUGAUAAUGCAUGCAGAAAGCCUGUGUAAAUUGUUAUUCGCGUGCCCGCGACCGAAGCAAGAAUUCGUCGAUGAUUCAGGGUAUCGUAGUUACUCUUGGAUUCAGCAGUUAGUCAGAAACGUAAUGUUAUUCGUUUAUCGCUUAAUGUCGUGUUAAUAACGUCCCAACGAUGGGACUGGAAAAAAUUCCAUUGAUAGAUUAUCAAAUUACUUUUACUAACGUACGAUCUUUUUCUCUCGGAAAGAAUGUAAAAAAUAAUAUGAUAAAGUGAUAACAGACGCGGCCCUUUAUAAUUCUCGUCUUUAAUUAUUUCGAUAAGAUAAUCGUUAAGUAGGCUAACAUAAUUGCGGUCACAUUUUUACAAUUAUAUCGUUCGUAUUUGAUAAACUUAUCACAUUUUCUGCGCAGAGAAUUAGAAGCUUUUUACUCGGUGAGUCGUCGAAUCGAAGGUAAAAAUGACGAGCGUUUGCAGACAGCACACGAGAUCCACGGCUCUGAAGAAUGACGUUGGAGAUUCUUGGGAUCUGACCUCGCGCACGCGAUUGACCCAGAACAGGUAGACAACCGGUAAAACGAAUGUUGCUACGUGAAAAUUUAACUUGUAACCCGUAUGAAUCACCGAAACGUUUCUAAUUAGGACCGCGCCGAAGCUCGAUUCAGAAUUUCUUAUCUUACUUAUUAAACCGUCGGAGAUAAACCAUAAAUUUUCGACGAGUUUCGCUGUUAUCGCUACAGAUUUGAUUGUAAAACAUAAUUUCAAGAACACGACAAAUGCUUCACUUCGUAAAUGUAUAAUCCAGUGAUUGUUAAUCAUGAGAAAGAGCGUACGUAUAACUCGUUCUUGACUCCGUUUCCCUGCGCGUAUGUGCGCGAGUCAAGGAUUUGGAACACGGCCGUGGAUCGUUAGGAUCACCAAAAACGAGCAUUUCGUCCUUCCGCUUGUUCAUAUCCCGUCAUCCGGCUUUGAAUAAUUCUCGUCACGCAUUUCGUGAAACGAGAUUACCUCAAAAGCCCUUACUCACCGUUUCGAAAAGAACUCUUUUUUUCCCCAUCUCCGGAAAACGUUCGGAGAGGAGAAAAAAACGACGCGGAAUUCCUGCGAACGAUUUGUCUGAAUGAUUUCAGAAAUUGUUCCUGGAAGCUUUACGUUCAUGCGUGGAGGAUGAGCAAGAACCGUCGAUAAAUCGCGUUAUUACGAAAUAACGAGCAUGGAACACGAAAGCAUGGUAAUGCAUCAAUCAUUCGCGAAAGUUAACAUUUCUUGCGGCAACGAUUUUCAUCGUCGCGUACGUAGACGCGUGAGAACGUCCACGCGGAUUUUCAACACCGCGGAUCGAACAGAUAAGAUUAUAUCACGCGUGUAAUGAGAGUUACGAAGGAAAAUUUUCAUCGUGCCAACUAACGCAUGCCGUGUAACACAAUUACCUUGUACGGUAUUACGCGCAACUCUGAUUCUCUCUUAUCCGAUACACAAAUCAUUUUUUCUAUUGUCGAGUCAUCGAGUUCGCAGCACGCUCAUUGUAAGUUUUCCUGGUCGCUCUGGUAUCGAGUUCUGCGGUGAAACGACACGAUCGGACUCCUGUUCUCGAUUUGCUCCUCUUCGAGAAACCUACACCUAGCCACGACGUGAGAAACAGUCAGCCAGAACUGGCUUCGAAACUCCUAUCCUACGAAUAACACGGAAAGAGGAAUAAAAGGAUUUCGCCUCCCCUACUUUCUACCAGUUUCAUCGAUUGGCUCAAAGCGCAAGAAGUAUCAUUUGGUGUUCUCAAGGGUUUCUCGGCAACAGUUCUCACAGUCGCGUUACUCUAUUCGAAUAAUUAGUUCUGGUAAAAAGAAACUCUGUUCACAAUUAGUUGUCGCGUUUCCUUGUUUUACGCAUGCCUCGCGAGAUACUACGUAUGUGCGCUCACGCCAGUGCCAAGUGCACUGUUCCCAAUGCAUACGAAAGUGGAACAGUACGUAUAGCUAGAUAGGAUCGUGCGUCGUCUAUAUGGUAAGACGACGACCGGUGUCCUUGUUCAGAGAAGCAAGGUCUUGCCUUAUCUGUGCAACUUUGGAGCUUGUUAGCUGCCUAUGUAGCACAACCGGUCCCCACUACUCUUCAUUUACCAUUCGCGGAAAUAUUAACUACCUUAAUGGCCUACUAUUUCGUCGGCGAAGGUUCUGCCUCUUUCUUAAACUGAUAAACUGUAUCUGUGCACGUUUCUAAUCGAGUUACGUGCACCGUUCCGUCAAACAAGGAAAACGCAGUAGGAAUGAUCACGCUAAAUCGCAAUUCGUAUUACGAAAUUAAUUAUUGGCUUCUUAAAGGUCUUACCAGAUCUCUCAGACUGUGUCAACACGUUUCUACUUAGUCGCUUGAUAAAAAUUCGCAUUUUCACUGAUUUAUGUAAAAGAAUUUGUUCCUCGAUGAAUUAAGUUAUUUUUCCCACCGCUUGGUAGCUCGUAUCCUUAAUAUCUGUGUCGCAGGGAGGAAGUCGAAAUUAAUGGUAAACGUUCCAUAACAUUGCUUACAAGCGUUACGGUUGAUUACAAUUAGCUCACCCUAUACAUGUGAGAGUUCUCUAUCAGUGUAUUCACGUGUGGACGAUAUGUAGGCCGUCUCGGUUAAACGCUACUUUCGAAUUUUCAAUACUUUUUCAUACGACUCGAAUCCUGAUCUGUUCAGGUAUAUCGAAUUCGGAGGAAGCUUCUUGCAUCGUCGUUUCCCAGGUCCUUUGCGAAUAAGAAUUCAAGAAGCAUUCCUGGUUAUAAAUAGCCGUUUCCGCUUCGUCAGGUAGUCGGAAUCGAUCGACUCGACAGAUUGUAAGGACAAGGUCCAAGCUGGUGAGCGAGGCCUCGCCUCUCGAUUCCAACAGGAAGAACGGUACAAAUGAAACUAGCGAUUUUUCUCAUAAAAUUUUAACAAGAUACUCGAAUUUGAUUAAGCUGAACGUCGUUUCCGGCGUACUCAUUCAUUCGAGAUAGUAAUCGGCGAACGAUUGUCGCGGGCAAAAAAUCGGGUUGAAUGAAACUGGAACAGAGUGUACAUUCGUUAAGCCGGCGAGCAAAAACCACCGGAUGAAUGGCUGGAAUACCUUCUCCGCUGGGACGAGGGACCAGCAGACGGAGAAGAAAGGGAGUAAGGCUCGUAUCUGGAAACACCGACACCCUUCGCAUACGAAGAUUCGUACGAUUUCCACUAACAGACACCACAUUCUCGUCGCACGCUAUUUAGUAUAAUUGUAGGACGUCAUACGACGCGGUGUUCUACUCUUAUUACACGCCAGGCAAAUUUUAUUCGUUACGGAAAAUGUAAAGGGUACUCGUACCGUGCGAGAAUAUGCAGAAUAUUUUUGAAAAACGGAAGAACGUUUCAUUAUUUGAUUCGAUAUCACAGCUAUACCUAUGUAUUAGAAUAUAAAAAUUCCUUAUGACCGAGGAAAACAGGACAAACAAUUUUAUAAACCUGACUCCUGUGUAAUUGGACACAGCUUUUUAUUGCAUGUCCUAAACUUUCGUCAGAGAUCUUAGGGCUCGUACAACCUUAAUUACAAUAUAGGGAGUAUGCUUUCGUCGAAAUUUCAGUCAGGACGAUAGAUAAAAGGAAAUACAGGGAGCACGUAUUUAUCUACGACCAUAUGUCGACUAGAGAAACGAACGCAGAUGGGAGUCUCACUAAUCUCUCUAGUCCGUACGUUUCCGGUUUCUGAAAAUAUUUAGAAACGGUACACAAGUAUUUACACGAUAAGGUAUACUUGAAGAAUGACGGUCGAACGAGUGUAGCGUGAAAGUAGAACGAGCAGGACCCGGGAAUGAGUGGUCUUAACGAUUGAACGCAACAGACGUUUUGCGUUGAACGCGAUGAAAUAAAGCGAUCGCGUACUCAUUGGCAAUGGUCCAACUGUUCCCACUAAAGACGCCGGCUUGACAAAUGGGUUUUCUAAUUACUAGCGUGUACACGCGUCUAAAACCAGUCGCUUUUACGAGAAUAGUAAUGAUCUACGGCCAUCCCUCCGAUGAAACAUUAAGAAUAAGACACGUGCCGUCAAACGCAUGAUUCAAAUCGGUCAUAUGGAUAGAUGUUCUUCUGAGACACGUACCGAUUGACGAAGAUUAAUUUGCAAAAGUGUUCGAUAAUAACUUACGCGCUGCCAGAAUAGAAUUCACGUUUGACACGGUGUUUGCCGAUAGCUCGCUCUAUAUACCAUCUACGGCAGAUGCGAGGGUCGAUACGCUUAUGGUAGAACGCGUACACACGGUGAAUCAUACGUGGCGAGGGGUACAGCUACACGAUCAUCGAAUAAUUAUCAAUAAACUGUAUCUUCCCUUUAACUGCCAUAUCGUUCUGCUAUUUUAUCAGAAUGUCUGUUACUUGACCUGCCUCGCUUUUCUAAAUUAUUUUACAAGCAACUUCGAAAGUAGCAAUUUCAAGAAGUUCACGAUGCAACUGGGAAACAAUGGAAAUCCGUAGUUUGCCCCCGUCAGACUCUGUAUCCCAGUUUCGACUUUUCAAUCCCCGAUAGUUUCGGAAAAGGCUUGUUCAAAGUUUGUUCCUCCGUCCAGAAUUCCAACUUCUCUCUAAAAUAUUUUCAGAGUAAUUACGUUAUGUAAUAAAUAUGAACGUAUCUAGAAUAACUAAAAAAUCAUGACUUGGUAAAAGUAUCCAUUGUAUGGUAAGAGCAGGAAAUAUAAUGAUAUCCAACGUGGAAAGUAACAGUCGAUGAGAUCUAAUUAGACAGUAAUGAAUUUUCAUUCGUAUAAAACGUUUUCAAGUUGAAUUACGUUUAAAGGUCAGGCCGGAGGGUUCCUUUGGGAACUUUACUUCGCUCGUUGCGAAAACCGGAUAUGCAUAUCAUAAUUAAUCGCUUGCAAUUUAUAUAAUGACAACGUGGCCAGCCAGAUUCAUUUCUCACAGCUCUCAAGCUUAAAUGUAAUCUCGGGAAAGAUAUUAAUUGUUUCAGGAAAGAGUUUUACGUGUCUGAUUAUUUUUCAUGUUUCCACGUCGGACGUCGAUGUUUGAUAUUAAUUACAUUCGAGAGAAUACGUUCUAUGCUAAAAUCGUAACAGGAAUCAUCUGACUGAAUCGAUGUAGGAAUGUCUCAGCUACAGAUCAGUAAACACGAUUACUGAAAUGAUUGCAUAAAAUUCUUUGUUCGCAUUUGAUUUCAACGUAACGUUUAACAUGCUAAUUAAGAUCAUCGAUAUUUAUACAACGUGACGUCACUGAGACGAUAUCAGUCCUCGUUAUCAAUGGUCUCACACUUGUUCACUGCAACUGCAAUGAUGCAGACACCGACGGAGUGCCAUAUACUUAAAUUAUUGUAAGUCGACGAUUGUAUGUACAUUUUGUCAAUCGUUUCGACAUAUCUCGUCGUUUCCUCCGCGUGUUUUUCCCACCGGAAACGGACAAAUGUUCAGUGGCCACGUUACGUUUCGUCACGUGCCACGGGGAUGAUUGUAAUUCCGGAUGUGCAGUCGAUUUAAUAAAAAUUUCAUCGCCCGUCCACCGUCGCCUCUCCUCGCGAGCAACUUUUCCGUGCGUAUACGUGAAAUAUGCGUGUUAUAUCCCCGGCGCGCGAAUUAUCGGGUACAUUGCACUUCUGCACGGAAUGGGACCUCGUGCAUCGCUCGGGGCUACGUCGAGGGAGUACGGAAACGGGUCUCGAGGGACGGCGUACAGGAACGUACGUCAGGCGACCGACUCCCUUUGCCAUCCAUGCGAUAAGUUGACUCACCUUGAAAUACCGACGACGUAUUCCAAGCCAAAUUCGCCGGUCAACUCUAUAAAACGUACAAUAGAAACUUCUUCGAUAUCGUAUUUAAGCGAGGACAGUGAAUUUAUUUUCCUGUAUCAAUGAAAUGUCUUCAAGUAUAUUCGUUCACUAUCUUUAUUCGCCUGUGACCGAGUCAAGGUUCAAUGUCGCUCCGUAUGGACUUUUCGUCCCAACUAAUCUCUUGACUGCUUAUACUGGUAACAAAGAUUCGCCAAGUGGAUUAUGAAUACGGCACUGGAUCAAAGGAGGACUACGGGAGAAUCGGUAGAAGAGAACCUGCUUUCAUCACGGCACCUGUCGACCCGUUAUAGCACGCAUGUACAUGCCAGAGCUCGAAUAUGUGCCUCGAUUCUCUCGCUUUUUGUCAGGAAUCACGUAGGACAGAACAUUUUUCAUUCUACUGACGCUGUCGUUUCUCAAGCUUCUUUCAAUUCUACUGUACUCACGAUCGUACGUCCCCGAAAAAGAAUAAUGUUCGAUAUGAAACAAGGAUUGGCGUGAAACGAGUGUGAUCACAACGGUGGAGGACAGAAUUCGUCAUGAACAAGCAGAAAUUCCAUACGUGCUCGAGCAUGAGUCAUCGGUCUUAGCUUUCAGCUGGGAGGCCUCUCAGAUUUGAAACUAUAGACGCAUGUGUUUAGAAGACUCGUUGUUGGUCUCUCAUACGAUAACGUGCGUUUGAACAUCGGUUCGUUUACGUUCAACCGUGUAACCGACUCUUUUUACUCUUUCUGGCACCGCGCCACGUGUGGGCGAAUCUUCGUAGGAGAGAUUCUAAUAACCCUGAGUAUUUGUUGUUCCUCAGAAACAAAAGAGUCUCAUCGAGAGAAACAAAUUUCAACGAAUACAAUAUUUUAUGCAAACGGAACGUUUGCAACGUGUAAGACCGCUUUUUCGAAGCUCGAUAAUUGCUCAAUUCUUGAAAGCUACGAUAACACCGAAGAACUGUUUCUACAAAUUGAUACUACUAUCAGAACGUUAAGCUAAUAUUACGUAAAUGCGUGAGACAACGAGGUGUUAAUAUCGAACCCGAGCCUGGCCAUAUAAGGAAGUUCUGUUCGAUUCAAACGAGAUAAUCUUAUAAAGACAGAUAACAAUAAUUCUCUGAUUCAUUUACUUCCACUCGUCUAAUCAUCAGACGUGGAUAUAGACACAUAGAGAUUGAAUCAGCGAGAAAUGCCCAUGGCCUCAUAAGAAAGACUUGCAGAAAAUGCAAGAAUAAAUUCAUACAACGAAACGAGAUACUCGAACACGAGAUGCUAAUGAAUUUUUACACGUCAUCGACUGUUAUAUGUUUAAUUGAAGACGUCCAACGAGAGAACUUACUAAGGCUUGCGACGAACUGAAUUCGAGCGUAUCUCGUUACACGAGGUCCUGCUACGAAAGUAUUAAAAGGACCACCUUGGCGAGCCCCGUUCCCGUUCCUGCUGGCCCUAUGGUGUUCCAUGCCCGUGGGGAGAUCGAUGAGGAACGUCUGCAGCGGCCACCACGCCCAAACCAGGAGGGAGUUAUACCAUGACUCACCCCAUAGAGAGAAUCAUGGUCCCGGGUGGGGACACCCCCGUGGCGCAGAGCUACGUGGCAUUGAAAGUGACGACGACCAGGCGCACCGUGCAAAUUCACCCUCGCUUUUUCGUCACAACUCGACGAACGUGUGUCACGCGGGCCCUGUUCAGGGACACACACGAGACGAUCACGUGCGUCGACCUGACCCAACGACUUAAGCCCAAUUUGGGUAAGGGACAUCCUCGACGUUCUCUCACGGACUGUAUACAUGGGGACGGGGGGGAUAGCCGAUUACUCAUCGGACUCGUACGUUUCGCACGAAAUUGAAACUGUUCCGGGAUCGAUAUGGCUAGGUAGGGAGUACGCUCUUAUCAUCGACGUUUUUCGAUGCCAAGAAGGAGAAUUCUAUUCGUAUGACCAGAGUUUGAUACACCGUUUCUUCGUGGACGAAACUGAAAAUAAGAAUCUAGAUAGAGAUCUCGGGAAAUAGAUCGUGAUAGCUCUUAAGCUACGAACGGAGUGGCUCGAUUUCCUGGUAUAUUUUUUCGACGCGUAGUCUGUCGGAUUUGACGAAUAAAUACAAUAAAUAAUCUACGAUUUUACUCACCCGCUGAGCAAUCGUUUUCACACGCGUAAAUGGAAUUAUUAGUCACGUUUGACUUUAUCAUAUCGCCUCUUCCAUAAAAACGAUUCAACCGAAUCGUCACGGUCGAAGUCCAUACGUGAAAAAUCAUUGACGACGUGCACGAGAUCGAAGCUUUUUAGGACGCAUGGUAUUACGAACUGUCGAAGAGAAAUUGGCCGUGCACCCAAAGUCAAUGACUUCGUGGCUUGGUUUAAUUGACCCGACGACGGGAACUUUUCACGGCUUUAAGAAUCAAGGCCACAGCGUGUGCACAUGUGCCUCAUGCGUGUCGAACGUCUUUUCGAACAUGUAUUAAACGUGUACACGGAAUAAGAAUACAUCGAAAUAUAUUUACGAGAUGAGUUCAUUAUCAUCGAGAAUAUCACUGUAAGAAAUUUCGUGCAAGUUUCUGUGCCACCUUUUCUUUUAGAAAGUGUCCCGUCCUACUAUCAAAGAAUUUUGUGAAUCACUCGGCCAAGAAAUAAUUCCAGGAUGAUCGAUUCAACUAUUCCUACUCUUUCACAUAUCCGAAUAACUGUGACUACUAUCUAUAACGUACAAAACUAUGCAGAACAUCAAACGCUGAAAGCAUGUUUCAACGUUCUAAUUACUUAUAAAAUAAAUGAAACGCAUCGUUUAAGGACGUAUAGGCUAUACACAUAUACUUA